GUGAGCAAGCUACAAAAGUCUGCUACAGUCAGUUGUUCUCCAAAGGAAAGCCAAGCAAAGAAACCACCAAAACUCAUUUGUCCUGAAGAAAUAUUAAUCUUUUCAGAUUACAAGGAUUGCUCUGCUGACUGAAGAGGGACUUCUUGAAUCUCUCAAUGACUCUCCUUUUCAAGUUGCACUGCAAAGCUGGAGGAAGCUACACAACACAGAGAAACAGAUGUUUUCACCACCCAAUUACACUUCCCAUAAACUGCUAAUCAGCAGUACUAUUACUGAGAAAGUAGCUACAGUGCAAGAAGAAACAUUAAUGCUUAAUAGCCUGGUAAUAGACAACAGUACAAAACCUGAUUUAAAUAUAUAUUAAAAUAAUUCUCCUUAGAUCGUUGAUUCUGUUAGGCUUGGCAGAUUAUACAACUUAGUCCUUCUGGACUAAAAGAUCAGUCUGGCUCUUGUUCCCAUGGAAACUGGACUGGGAAGGCUGCUUUGAUUGCCAAGAACUAACAGCAAAGAACUCUGCCUUGUAAAGUUCAGUUUCAAAUUGUCAGCUGAAAUAUGUAAUUGGGAGUUGUAGAAACAACUAUGUAUUAUAAAAAAUAUUUCACCUUAUAUCUGCAAGAAUCUAAGCAUUCAAAAAGCCAUUGCACAAAGGAACAAGUAGAGAUUUGGAUCCUGGUACCCCUACCUUCUAACUCUGAGACCAACUGUCACUGAAAGGUGCUACCACUGCCUCAGUGGCCAAUCUAGAUAGAGAGCCUUUGAGUUACUCUUAGUUCUCAGUUACAAGAACUGGCAUUGACGAGUACGACACUAGAGAAAAUCUUCUUCAUGAUAGAGGGUAAGUUCAUUAUUAUGCAUCGGGCACAAACGAGUAAUAUAGUAAUACAAUAAUAUAGCACAUAAAGUCUGAACUGCCUCAUUUCAGUUAGCAGGAAAUGGGCUUACUAUUGCAAUAACUUACACCAAAUCCAGUUAUUUUAAAUCACCAUUUUUUCUUUGUUAUGAUAAUUUAUUUCCUGUUAUCUUUUUCAAUAGAUCUGACAGCUUGAAGAAAAUACUCAGGACAUGUCCAAUGCAUCUAAUUCCAGUUAUGCCAUUAUGUUUUAAACAAGUUCGGCUCAGCAAUCUGAAAUGCCCUGAGGUGAUAAACAUCACUUCCAAAUACAAACCAUUCAUUUUACAAAGUAAGAAGAUGUUUAUUUAUGAACAGCAUAUUUUGCAAGUAACUGAAUGACAAUCAUCUUUCUGGCAAACAAAAGUCUUCUAUCACAUUUUUAACUGAGAGCUCAAUGCAGAUUUAUACCAGCUCCAUUUUUGUUUCGGAAUCAGCAUGAAAUAACUUUAACAUUCUUUCAUUAUUAAACAUUCAAACAAUUCUAAAAUAAGUCUGAAACUUGAAAAAAUACAUACUGACAUAUUAAAAUAUUUAAAAUUCAAUAUUUAGAAUAGUAAAUCUAGUGUAAUAUUUCUUAAGAAAUUAUUACCACAUAUUGAUAAUAGAAAUUAUUAUUUAGAAAAUACGACUAUAAAGGAAAGAAUUUUAUGUACUCUUCAUGUCAGUGUGCAGUGUUUUCACCUGAAAUGUUCAUAUUGCUGACAUGACAGAAUGUUAUAAAAAUAAAUCACCGUACAAUCCAUUUUUCUGAGGGGAACCAAUGAAUUUUUUUCAUGACUCAAUUAUUGCCAUCCUCCACACACUAAUAUUUGAGGUUAGUCUUCAUUUAAAUGAUGUAUUUUUAAAACAUCCUGCCAUCUGCAAAAAUGUCAAGUUCUGUUGUUUUUAACGAACAGCAACUAAAUUAGCAGCACUUUGACAACAGCAAAUAACUGAAAUGGAUAGAAUGUCAGAAGCAACAGUAAUGCAUACUUGAGUGAUGAAGAUAAUUUUGUGCAGCUGAAUAAGAAUCUGCUGAACAGGGUCACUGAUCUGACGCACUUUCCUUUGUGAUACAGCAAUUCCUGCCGAUGCUGUAGAUGACAACACUAAAAUCAGGACAGCUCAUUUUACUGCCUUUACAUAUUAAUAGUGAGCACUGUUUAAAACCUGCAAAUUUAAAUAUUGAGUUUUUAUGCAUGACCUGUUUUGCUAGUGGCAUUAGGAACAACAAGAACAAAAAAGAGUAAUCUGAAAACUUGUAAGUUUAGAUAAUGGAAUUAAUAAUGGGUUUCAAAGGAAAUCCCUACCUCUGAUUCAUUACACUAAAAUUUACUUUAUCUAAAAAAAAACUAUAUAUAUAUUAACAUACCUCUCUAAUAAUAAAAGUUUUUCUAUAUUUAUUCAUAAGGGAAUCUAAAGAUACUAUAAACAGAAUUUAUUUUAACAAAAUGA